rnacentral:rRNA from 1 species
GACGAACGCUGGCGGCGUGCUUAACACAUGCAAGUCGAACGGAAAGGCCCUGCUUUUGUGGGGUGCUCGAGUGGCGAACGGGUGAGUAACACGUGAGUAACCUGCCCUUGACUUUGGGAUAACUUCAGGAAACUGGGGCUAAUACCGGAUAGGAGCUCCUGCUGCAUGGUGGGGGUUGGAAAGUUUCGGCGGUUGGGGUUGGACUCGCGGCUUAUCAGCUUGUUGGUGGGGUAGUGGCUUACCAAGGCUUUGACGGGUAGCCGGCCUGAGAGGGUGACCGGCGACAUUGGGACUGAGAGACGGCGCAGACUCCAACGGGAGGCAGCAGUGGGGAAUAUUGCACAAUGGGCGGAAGCCUGAUGCAGCAACGCCGCGUGCGGAAUGACGGCCUUCGGGUUGUAAACCGCUUUCGCCUGUGACGAAGCGUGAGUGACGGUAAUGGGUAAAGAAGCACCGGCUAACUACGUG